AGUGAACGCUGGCGGUAGGCCUAACACAUGCAAGUCGAACGGCAGCACAGUAAGAGCUUGCUCUUACGGGUGGCGAGUGGCGGACGGGUGAGGAAUACAUCGGAAUCUACUUUUUCGUGGGGGAUAACGUAGGGAAACUUACGCUAAUACCGCAUACGGCCUACGGGUGAAAGCAGGGGGUCUUCGGACCUUGCGCGAUUGAAUGAGCCGAUGUCGGAUUAGCUAGUUGGCGGGGUAAAGGCCCACCAAGGCGACGAUCCGUAGCUGGUCUGAGAGGAUGAUCAGCCACACUGGAACUGAGACACGGUCCAGACUCCUACGGGAGGCAGCAGUGGGGAAUAUUGGACAAUGGGCGCAAGCCUGAUCCAGCCAUACCGCGUGGGUGAAGAAGGCCUUCGGGUUGUAAAGCCCUUUUGUUGGGAAAGAAAAGCAGCAGGUUAAUACCCCGCUGUUCUGACGGUACCCAAAGAAUAAGCACCGGCUAACUUCGUG
rnacentral:rRNA from 1 species